CGGCACUGCAGAUGUUUUGGACUACACCUCCCAUGAUGCUUUGCCAGCAUUAUGGGGGAUGCAGUCCACAACAUCUGGAGUGCUG